rnacentral:lncRNA from 1 species
AUAAUUUCAGCCGAAGUUUUCAUGUACCUGGCCAACUAGGUGCUCAUGACAUUAGAAAUGAAAUGGUCUAAUCUAAUAAUGCAAGCUCACAACCUGUCUUCUGAAGCAAAAUAAUUUUUGUUGCAAGUUGUAGAUCUUCAAGAUAUUUAUGCCUUCGCCAGAUCCAAUUCUUUGCUGCUAUCUAUUUUGGGUACAACAGCGAGAAAAUGCAGCUACUCAAGAUUAUGUGGUGUUCUUAGUUCUAAUUUAGAACAAUGUAAGAUUGAUUGAUUUGAGGUUAAUCCCUCUCCAAUGUUCUAGUUGCUUGGAAACCGACGAGAGAUUGCUGGAAUUGAAGACUGAUAAUUUGGUCGGUCCAGAUACUAUCUCUGGGGGCCGUAGACAAUUCCAACAGCAUGUGCGAGUUUUAACAAAGCAAUGCGUAGGCCAUGCGCUACCCAAUGAGACAAAAAGCGAUGUUUAAUUUGUGUGGAAUUAGAAAUUUUUUUUAAAAUUAGUUCUUGAAUAAGUAAAAUUCUUAACUGACAAAGAUUUCGGCCAAAAUGAAUCAUCGCUUUUUGUGUCAUUAGGUAAAGAGUUGCUUGCUCAUACUCGUGUAAAAAAAGACAAGAUUAACUUAAUCCACAAUUCAUAAAUUAUUUCAGUGCUUUUAAAUAAAUAAAGGGAUU